UGAAUGUUAUAAUUCUUGACGUCUGAUUUGUGUCCAUUUAUUCUUUUACAUAGAGACUGUCCGGUUUGGCCAAUGUACAUGGCAGAGGGGCAUGACUUCGCCAUGAGAGUCUGGGCAGUUAUUUAAUAUUUCUGUGAAAACUGAGCCAUGUUAGUAUGUUUGGGAUAGCAUCUACCUGAUUCAGAGGAAUGUGUUGAGACAUAAUUUAUUUUUGCUGGUAAACACGUAGAGAUUCUAGGAUGCAAGAUGCUUUAAAUAAAAAUGUUAAUUUUAUUCUAAUUAAAAGUAUAUGUCCUAACUGUAUUCAUAGUUGGAAAUGCAAAUAUGUUUAAUGAACGAACCACCUGAGAAAUGUUGGCUAUUGUGGCAUCCAAGGGCUUAAAUAAUAUUUUUGCUGAAGAGAUUUAAUUAGGAGCUUAUUACUGCCCAGCACCAAUAAAAAUAAUGUAAUAUGUAGGAGUUUAAUUAUUUGGAUAAUAGUGGCAUUAAAAUAUCUGCCUGCUAAGAAUUGUCAGAAAUGAAAUUGCAUUACUCUUAGGCUUUAUAAACUUUACUGUAAAACAGGUUGAAAAUAAGAGCAUUUCUGCUGAUCUUGAUGGGAAUGAGCAUCUUUUACAUAUGGCUUCAAUUCACAUUUUAAUCAGAAUGUGGAAGUCAUUAUAAUGACAUCUGAAACUGAGGUAGCAAUAAAAAAAAUUAUCACAAAUAAGACAGCAGACACAAAUUAUUUUGUUUUUAUUACUGGGUGGCCCUUUUUAAACUUCCCAAAGUUAAUUGGUUCCAGAUAUUUGAAAAUUGAAAUUGUAUUAUGACAAAUUUAUUUCUGUUCAUAUUUAACUUGAGCCUCCUCAGUAAGGCUGAUAAAACUUCUCCGUGUACUGUGGUAGUUUUAAUCCUAGUGACUGGUUUAUCAGAAACCACUGUGAAAAUAAACACUAGUAAUUACUGCACUGCGUUUGUAAAUUAUCGAUUCUGUAAGGUACUUCAGAAGUAUAAGUGCUGCUGUGUUGUUUAAAUUGGUCACAAAGAUGCCAUGACAGAUUCAAUGUCUGUGAUGAGAUUACAUAGCUGUUUAAGCAACAUACCCUGCAGUAAAUGAUUAGAAUAUUUUCUCGUAAGACUAACUAUAUCGACAGACUCUUACAUUAAAGUAAUGGUGUGGGAAUGACUGAAGCAGGCUACUCAGAUUCAGACACUUUUAACUCUGUACAGUGCUGUGACCGAUGUACAAUCUUCUCUUAAAAGUUUCUGAUGAUAUCAGUUGUGCCAAACUUCACAUGAACACUAGUUACUAAAUGCACUAUUUGCUGGUGCAGACCAUAAGAGUUUUGGUAGACAAAGCCCUAGAUGCAGAUCUUUUAAAUGAGUCUAUCAAAUGUGAUUUUCAGAAGUGAUUAGUGACUUUAGCUGCUUCAAUUUUUUGAUGCCCAUUUUAGGAUGACUUCAGAUUUUUCAGAGGGUGGGUGCUGAUUUAUUGAAUUGAAUGAUAAAACUCAAUACAUUGAGUUCUUUCAUGAAAAGUCAGGAUUUUUCUAAUUUUGGUCACAAGAUUUUUUUAAUGAAUUUUAACAAAUCUAAUGCUAUACAUGACCAGUACAGGGGAUUAGGAGGUUUUUUAAUUGGUUAAACAUUAAAUAGCUUUAUAAAUGUUUAGUGUAAAAUUAAGGACUUUUGCCUUAAAAUUUGCCAUGAGAAAUAAUAUCAAGAUAUGUGCCAUGACUUUUUUCAAAAUAACAUUGAUACUUGCAGUUUUCUCUAAUACAAAGCCCUGACUCCUUUUUUUUGCAUAACAACCAACCGGUCAACAUUCUUAUACUGGAUGGACAAAAUGUUCAGACUUGGGCUGAGAAUUUGGUUUUCAUUCCUUUGAAUACAAGAAACUCCCGUUGACUUUGCAUUGUGAGAAUAACGUCCUGUGUUGGCAGAGUUCUUAAGCAGAGACUAUAAACAUGUUUUUGGAUGCCACACUGUUUGUACAUUUAAACAAAUAAAAAAUGUCUUAGAGAAAUUUGUCUACAUUGCUAGUUUUACAAUAACUUCUGAAUUGUGUGUUACAUGAGAUAAGUACAGUAUCUAAAGAUUAUUGCUCAUAAUCCUACUCAUGUCAACUCUUUUUGUCCUCUUUCAUAUUCUUGAGUAAUAUACUUCUAUUAUUUAUCUUUUUGAAUAUAACUCUGUUGUAUGCAUUUUUACUAUCAUGGUUGUAUUUACCAAAACUUUAAAUGAAUUUUCUUAAAAAAGAAGCAAAGUUAAAUAUAAACAUUAAAAUCACAAUGCAAACUACAAACCCGUUAAGUUACCAUAGAGUUUAAAAAGAACCUUAAAGAAAUAACUUAAAAUUUUAUGCACUCCUAUAAGAAACAGUUAAACACCAUUUUAAAAGUUUCCUGGACUUAAACCUUUUGUGUCAAUUUUUAUUCCUAAAUUAGUUUUUAUAGCAAAGUUAUAAAUAACUACAUGUUUUUUAUUAGAAACAAUGUCAGACCCUGAACACUAGAGACAAGAGAGGUGCUGCUAUAACUUCUUAACACCCUUUUGAAUUUUUUUCUAAAUGAAAGGACCACAUUCACAAGUGUAUAACUGAACAUGCCAUUUGUUUUUUAAAGGAGCUCCCCUUGCCUCCAAAAGUACCUUCAUAUGUUUAGUUGAGGAGUUGCAGAAUUAAUGUUCAUAUUUGUGAAAAGAGACAGUCUCUGCAUUUUCCAGAAUUAUUGGUAGUGAAAAAAGGUAAAGGAAAUGUUACAUUUGUGGAAGCACGGUUUUAAUCACUAAGAGCCUAUGUACUGUAUGUGUUGUGUUUGUAAAGUUUAUGUAUAAGUGCUAAACUGCAUUGGGGUAAUUUAUGGUGCAAAUAAAUGUCAGUGGCUGAA